rnacentral:tRNA from 13 species
GCGCCCGCGGGGGUUCGAUUCCCGCG